GGGGUAGGACCGAGUUCCGGGUGCCGGGCAGGCGCUGAGAGGAGCAGAGCGUGGUAGUUGGGAGCCCGAGAAGGAAAGCGGACAUGUUCCGGAUCGAGGGCCUCGCGCCGAAGCUGGACCCCGAGGAAAUGAAACGGAAGAUGCGUGAGGAUGUGAUCUCGUCCAUACGGAACUUCCUCAUCUACGUGGCCCUGCUGCGAGUCACACCUUUUAUCCUAAAGAAACUGGACAGCAUAUGAAGAUGGACAUCACACGUGAAUGCAUGGUAUGAGGAACCCGGUUACAAUUUCUACUCCUGUCUGCAGAUGAAUAGGCCCAGAAAGAUGAGGAAAGAAAAUCGCUAAUUGCAAAUAUGUUCAUGAUACCAAGAAACUGAAGACUAAUUUUUAUGGGACAGCGUGGAAACAUCAUGGAGACUACUGCUGGAUGUCCUACAGCAAUGGGAGUUUACAAGAUGCUCUUCUUUCCAAAACUCCGAUUGCAUUGCCUCUGAUUAUUUGAGCCGAUGGGAGAGAAGCAAUAUAUAGAUAAUUUAAAAUAAUAAAUAUUACCCCAAAAAAAGUUUUUAAGAAAUGUGAUAGAUAAGAAUUAAAACAAGGAAAUGUAGGAAAUGGUCAAAUGAAUUACUCAUCCUAAUAUCAUUAGUAAAACUCAGCUUUUAUAUCAUUUUAGUGUACUUUUGAGUAAAAUUUAAUAGGCUUACUAUUGAAUCUUUACAUAAACUGUAAAAUUUUAUAGAUACUCAAAUUUUCAUAAUAACCAUUGUUUUCAUUGGUCUCCAGGAAAUGAAGCAAAAGAUUUUUUUAAAAGCCUUAAUAAGAUAUCAUUAUUAGCUUAGUGAAACUGAUUACUGGCAAAGGGUUGAAGGGAAAGGCAUUUAGUUUAACAUGUACUUUUCCAUUUGAAACUAACCUUCACUUUUGUUAGCAAGCACUCUAGUAAACUUUGCUCAAAAUAUCACUUA